AGUGGCUGACGAGUGCCAAAUAGGAUGAAACGUGCGUCCUGAAU
rnacentral:hammerhead_ribozyme from 1 species